rnacentral:misc_RNA from 1 species
AAGUCGUAACAAGGUUUCCGAAGUUGAACCUGCGGAAGGAUCAUUAACACGUAUCCAAACGUUAACGUGCUCACCUUUGUCAGAGCGUGGCAAUCCCUAGUAAAUCAUCGCCGAACAGUUUUCGAUUUAGGGACUUCCACAAAGAGUGUGCUCGUAGCGCGAGGCAAGUGGCCUGGCAUUCCCAAGCAGUUGGUGUCUGAAAGUGUCACUGGCUGUGGAUGGCGCAGUCACCGGGCUCACGCCCCUUAAUCACAACUUAAUGCAUGUCAGACGCCUGCGCUUAAUUGUGCGGCGACCAUAAAACUCGAACAACUGUUAACAAUGGAUAUCUUGGUUCUC